AAACCUCCCAAACGACCUGCAAUCCGGCAGUCUUUGCGCAGAAAGACAAGAGAAGAGAUGUCGUGCCUCACCUAUGCUUGUGCCAUACUUCUCGUAUUCACUCUAGCUUCGGCGCAAGUGUUUCAGUCCCAAAUCGUCCACAGGCAAAGCGCUCAUGGAUAUGCUCCUUUAAGCAAGUCAUCUCAAUAUUUUUACAUAAAACCUCCUUCAGCAGCAUCACAAUCCACCAACUCAAAACCAGGAGUGAAUAACGUAUAUCCUGCUGUAAAUCUCGCGCCCGUAUAUCAACUUGCAGUUGCACCUUUGCGAAAUCCAAAUCAACGAACUUGCAUAUUUUUUAAUGGCAGAUGUAGAAACUUUUAUCCAGGCAACUAAUAAACGGUCUAAGUGCUCGCCUUUAGCGAAAACUUUAUCGCUUAAUUCUUUGUUGUAUGUUGUAUUAUGUAGUGAUUAAAUUUUUUAACUUUCAAAGUUGUAAAAUUAAUAUUCAGUAAAUUUUCUCUCUUGAUGUAAUUAACCUUGUAAUUUUGAAUAUUUACAUGAAGUGUGUGAGGGCAAAGAAUAUUCCAAUAAAUAUUUCUUCAAACUAUAA